CCAUGUUGUCAUCCCUUGUGCCAGUUACUCGAAUAUUUGAAAAAUGCAUAAAAAUUAACCCCUUUGGGGUCAAAUUACAAUUAAAAAAAAUGAAAAAGAAAGAACAAUUACAGAAAUUACAACCCCACUCCCUCAUAAAACAAUCUAGGACAGGUAAUUAUAUCUCUACAACUCUCUCUCUCUCUCUCUCUCUCUCUACAUCAACACAACAAGUCUCACUAAUGUCUUAGCAAGGACACCUUCUUCCACUCCACCAAGCGUCUUAGGAAGUGCAUAACCUGUCAAAAAUAUGGUAUGAUGUUAACAUGCACUCUAAUCCCAACAAAAAAAUUAUAC
rnacentral:lncRNA from 1 species